AUACUGUAUUCACUUCCAUCUUGUAUGUUUACAGACUAUUCAUUUCUUUUUUAUUCCACGGCUUCAUCCAAAAAUUGUUUUGCAUCCACAGCUGACAUUUUCUCCUACUAACAACGCUACAAUAUCAUUUCAUUUAUCAUUCAACGCUAAGAUUUUUUCAUAUAUAAAAGUAUUUUCAAGUGUAAAUAUUUCUUUUGAGAACUAUUAGUCAAAUACGGGGUAUGAUUUAAUAUUUAUCAACGACUUCUUUUUCAUUUAAAUUAAAAGUAAAGAACGAAAGAAAAAAAUUAAUUGAAGAAAUGUCUUCAACACGACGAAGACGUCAAAAACCAUCCCAAGCCAGAUCUCUUACUCGAUCAUUGUCUCCAGAGUGCUACAUCGACUUAACGGUCGAUUCGCCAGUACGGACGCCAAUAGAGACGAGGAUUUUGGAUCAUGAAGCAGAGUCAACUAUGAUGAUCUCCCAAUUACAGCGAGCAUUGAUAUGGCCUCUUGGAACCGUAUCAAGAAGAGCCGUCAAUCGUGAAGAGUCACCAGAAUCAAAUACUCACCGUUUAUCAAUUGAAAUCGAUACACCUGAUGUUGAAUUGGAUAUUGAAUUAAAUGAUAAUAAUAAUUUUCGAGAAAAUACAACUAAUGAAACAGUGGUGAUCGAUGAUCCUGAACCAGUUCCAGUUGUAAGCAUGAAAAAUUCUUCCCAAGUUCAUGAAAAAUCAACUGCACCAUGUUUAUCGUGCCCUAUUUGUUUCGAGGAACUUUUAAACACUUCAAUACCAGCAUAUACGACAAAAUGUGGUCAUAUUUUUUGUGAAACUUGUCUUAAAAGAGCAAUUGAAACACGAAAAAAAUGCCCAAUGUGUUUAAAAGCUGUUAAUAUCAAACAAUGUGUUCGUUUACAUAUUUAAUCAUUGACCAUAAUUGUAGUUUUUAAUCAUUUAACGUUGUGUCAAAUUAAGAUCCUUUGGUACAAUGAAAAUCAAAAGUAUUUAUUAAACAAACUUCACAACCAAAUAGUAUCAUCUGCCCAUGUACAUUUGUAAUUGCAUUAAAUAAAUAAAUAUUUUUCUAUUACCAUUUUUCCAAUGUAAA
rnacentral:misc_RNA from 1 species